rnacentral:rRNA from 1 species
UACGUAGGGUCCGAGCGUUAAUCGGAAUUACUGGGCGUAAAGCGUGCGCAGGCGGUUUUGUAAGCCAGAUGUGAAAUCCCCGGGCUUAACUUGGGAACUGCAUUUGGGACUGCAAGGCUGGAGUACGGCAGAGGGAGGUGGAAUUCCACGUGUAGCAGUGAAAUGCGUAGAGAUGUGGAGGAACACCGAUGGCGAAGGCAGCCUCCUGGGCUAGUACUGACGCUCAUGCACGAAAGCGUGGGGAGCAAACAGG